AUUGAACGCUGGCGGCAGGCCUAACACAUGCAAGUCGAGCGGAUGAAGGGAGCUUGCUCCUGGAUUCAGCGGCGGACGGGUGAGUAAUGCCUAGGAAUCUGCCUGGUAGUGGGGGAUAACGUCCGGAAACGGGCGCUAAUACCGCAUACGUCCUGAGGGAGAAAGUGGGGGAUCUUCGGACCUCACGCUAUCAGAUGAGCCUAGGUCGGAUUAGCUAGUUGAUGGGGUAAAGGCCUACCAAGGCGACGAUCCGUAACUGGUCUGAGAGGAUGAUCAGUCACACUGGAACUGAGACACGGUCCAGACUCCUACGGGAGGCAGCAGUGGGGAAUAUUGGACAAUGGGCGAAAGCCUGAUCCAGCCAUGCCGCGUGUGUGAAGAAGGUCUUCGGAUUGUAAAGCACUUUAAGUUGGGAGGAAGGGCAGUAAGUGAAUACCUUGCUGUUUUGACGUUACCAACAGAAUAAGCACCGGCUAACUUCGUG
rnacentral:rRNA from 1 species